rnacentral:tRNA from 1 species
CGUAGCUCAGUUGGAUAGAGCGUCCGCCUCCUAAGCGGAAGGUCGUUGGUUCAAAUCCAAUC